ensembl:lncRNA
CUUAGCUGGAGGCUAGAACUUGUAAUGUAAAAUUAGUAGUCUUUAAAGCCUAAACUAAAAACCUUGAUUGUUUCUUCCCACCACAGCCACUUUUCUCCAUCUGGGAUUAUUCCAGCUCUGGACCACGGGUUGAGGCUGGUAACCUGCAACACCUUGUCCCGGCCCCCCAUGUGUACCACCAGGAGCAGCACUUUACUCCCAGCACUCAGGGCCAGGUUUAUACCAACCUGCCUGACCAGCCGGAUUACGCAAGCUGGGAUUCGUCCAACUCUGGACCGUGGGUUGAGGCUGGUGAUGUCCAACACGUUGUCCCUGCACCCCACGUUUACCACCUGGAACAGCAGUUCACCCCCAGCACUCAAGGCCAGGUGUAUUACAUCCUGCCUGCUCAGGUGUAUUACCCCAGCUGGGAGACUAUUUCCUGCUCUGGACCGUUGGUUGAGGCUGGUGACCUGCCACAUCCUAUCCCAUCCUCCUACGUGUACCACCAGGAGCAGAUAUUCACUCCCAGCACUCAGGGCCAGGUUCAGCAGAUAGAGCUUCCAGGGAUGGCUGCAGUGUCAGAGGACCAAUAUUGCACCUUCAUGCCUGGUAAGGACUAUUUAAAUGACAACAUCCAACUCCAGUCAGUGUCCCUGUAAUAAUAAUAAUAAUAAUAAUAAUAAUAAUAAUA